GGGCUGUUCGAUGAAGGUGGCCAUCAGAUUUAAUGUGUCCCCAAAUUGUCCCCACAUAGCAAAUAAAUACCACAAAAUACUUAUUUUUAUGCAUUUAAUUUAGCCUUCACACGGCAAGGGUCGCAGGUUCGAUCCCUGCACCGCCCACCA
rnacentral:tRNA from 1 species